ensembl:lncRNA
GAGUAGUAUGAGUGUAAGGAGAGUAUAGUGUGUAUAGUAUGAGUGUAGGGUGAGUAUAGUGUGAGUAGUAUGAGUGUAGGGUGAGUAUAGUGUGAGUAGUAUGAGUGUAUGAGUAUAGUGUGAGUAGUAUGAGUGUAGGUGAGAGUAUAGUGUGAGUAGUAUGAGUGUAGGGUGAGUAUAGUGUGAGUAGUAUGAGUGUAGGGUGAGUAUAGUGUGAGUAGUAUGAGUGUAGGGAAUGUAUAGUGUGAGAGUAGUAUGAGUGUAGGGAGAGUAUAGUGUGAGUAGUAUGAGUGUAGGGAGAGUAUAGUGUGAGUAGUAUGAGUGUAGAGU